ensembl:piRNA 21ur-11557 ncRNA
UGGUCUGUCUAGAUUCCAAUA